GGGGAGGAGAGAGGGACAGAGAGUCUGCUUGCUUUAAAGGAGCCAACCAGACAGGAGUUCCCCUCCUCUCCCGCUUUGGUCCUUUAAAGAAGCAGGCUCUCUGUCCCUCUCUCCUCCCC